rnacentral:lncRNA from 1 species
AUGACGUUCAUCUUACUUGAAGAUCUUGGACUGAACAAGAAGAAAUUUCUUUCCAGUUUGAACUUCCAAGUGGCAUCCUACUGGCUCAACUCUGGAGAACUCUUCUUAGCCACAUAUGUGUUUGGACUGCAUCUUCCCGGCUUUAUACACACAAAUACAAUGAAAUUGAGCAUAUUUUCUGACAAAUUGGAACACCCUUUUCCAUGGUUUCUCUGUGUAGCCUUGGCUGUCCUGGAACGAAUAUCUUGCCUCAACCAAGAAAUACUGUUAAAUUGUCUGCUGCAUUUAUUCCUUUGUGGCCCCAAUUUCUCCACUUCAAUCUUGAAUUUGAUUGAUUAG